GGAGGCAACUGAACCAAUAAUGUGCUCAUAUAAACUGGUGAAAGUAAAAUUUGAAGUUUGGGGUCUGCAGACAAAAGUUGAAUCCUUUACGCAAAAGUCUAUUAGAGAUAUCUUACUCUUGGGACACAAACAAGCUUUUGCAUGGAUUGAUGAAUGGAUUGGAAUGACAGAAGAAGAUGUUAGAGAGUAUGAAAAACAGAUGCAGGAAGAGACAAAUAAACGGGUCUUAGGCUCACGCUCAGGUUCAACAUCAUCACAUUAAACUAAGUGAUAUACUCUCUCUCUAUUUGACACACUGUCUCCACCUACAAUCAAAAACUCAAAUAUAAUAACUCAAUCUUCCUUACGUUAAAAUGACUAAACCUCUUUGAUUUGGUCAAAAAUAAAUUUUUUAAUUUCAUAAGAUUUGAUGGUGAUUUUUUUAUUCGGAAUGGCAAUCUGUCUUCAUUGAAAAUUUUACAUCAAAAGAUAAAGUCAGCUUUUAUUUUAAGACAGAAAACCGAUUUUAUGUUGGACUGUCAACAUAUAAGUCAA